UGUGUAUAAUAUAUAUAUAUAUAUAUAUAUAUAUAUAUAUAUAUAUCAGUUUGAUCAAAAACAAUAUUUGAUCGUUGAAUAUAUAUGAAGCAUGCAUAUCGAUCUAGUACGUGCAUCAUUCCCUCUCCAAAUUAAUAUGAAAAAUCAUAACACUUGGAUAUAUGGCGCCCUAUUAUUUUGAAAACUAGGGAAAAUAUGGUUUUUUCUGUGCAGCUAGCUGUGUUGAGAUCAUUAUACUAAUGCACUGUAACAUCCAUAAGGACUUGGAAGUCCCAAAUAAAGCCAAUGAAAGACAUCAAAGUUUUGUUUGGGAAUAGGAAAGGUAACUGAGAGAAGUAGACAAAAGACUCUUGCUGUCAAAUCUGAAAUUCCAAGUUGACUCGGAAAGUUCGAUUAUAGGCUACGAACUCAUGCAGCAAAGCUUCUAGAUCGAAAACAAAAUAGAUGCCGAAAAAUUUCUUCAAGAAUGUCUUGUGAGACAAAAUAGAUAUAUGCCUUUCACAUCUACUUAAUUUGACCCAAAUCAAAGCAAUUAAGAUGUUCAUGAUAUAGCUAUAUAAUUAUAUGGUUUUGAUUCUUUUUUCAAUUACAAAAUAAAUUAAGAUACAAUACUAAGAGAAAAGAGUCGCUACCACCGGUAUUAAAACCUAAAUUGUGAAAAAAAGGCACACUAGAAGCAUUCAGUUGGUACGAAAGAGUGAUUUAGUUCCCCACUGCAUCAUGACAUAUAUUAGCGUAUGAGAAUUUGUAAUAAAAUUUGUUUCCCUUAAUUAAUACACGUAUAUGUAGAGCAUCUCCAGCAAUAGUUGAUAAAUUUGGAUGAAAAUUAUAUUUAUCAAUCCAUUUUGAGAGUUGUGUUCCAACAGAGUAGCUAUUAGAGAAAACUUAACUAUUUAUUGACAAAUUCUCUCUCCUGAAUUGAUAAAUUUGUCAAUUUUGGUUAUUAAUUUCUAAAUUUGUCAACUUCUUAAGUAAACUGCUGGAGCAAAAUAGUUCAUUUAAAUAUUGACAAAUCUCUAAUUUUUUUCAAUUUAUCAAUGCUGUUGGAGGAGAAAUUUUUAAAUGCUACGGGAGGACCACGUGGCAGUCUGACGUGGUCCUACUUUCCAAUCAAAUUUAGACAUGUGGAUUUUUUACAACUAAAAUAUAAACAAAUAUUUUCUAUUUUUUGUGAAAUAACAUUCAUGGGUAUUUAACAAGUUCAAACUAGGGUCUAGGGUAUAGGGUUUAAAGUUUAGAGUUAGGGUUUAGGGUAUAGGAUUUAGGGUUUAGGGUAUAGGAUUUAGGGUUUAGGGCUUAGGGUUUAGUAUUAAAAAAAACAACAGAAAACCUAAAAUGGUCUUUCACAAAAUAGCUGAAAUAAUUUUUUGUGAAGAAAAUCUACAUGUCUAAAUUUGAUUGGAAAGUACGACCAUGUCAGACUGCCACGUGGUCCUCCCGUAGCACUGAAAAAUUUUUCGCUAGAGAUGCUCCGUUGACAAACUUUUGAUAUCUCGAACCAACUGCUUGAUUCUUCGUGGAAUUGAAUGCUUCCUUUUAUACUAAAAAUUUGAAUCUUUAAAUGAGUCAUUGCGAACUUGAAAGUAGUGGUAACCUUGAGUUUUUUUUUUUUGGUAAAUUAGUAUAAAUUUGAUCUUUAGUCCUCAUUACAGUUACAAUGAUUGCCUACUCUCUCUCUCUCUCUCUCUCUCUNUCUCUCUCUCUCUCUCUCUCUCUCUCUNUNUCUNUNUCUCUCUCUACUCCCUCUACUACUACUUACCCUAAACUACUUCUACGUACUUACUUACUUACUACUACUUACUUACUACUUACUUACUUACUUACUUACUUACUUACUUACUUACUUACUUACUUACUACUACUACUACUACUACUCUCUCUCUCUCUCUCUCUCUCUCUCUCUCUCUCUCUCUCUCUCUCUCUCUCUCUCUCUCUCUCUCUCUCCGAAUCGGCAAACAUAUUAUUUUGUUUUCACUUUAAGGACUCGUAUUAUCAGUUUAAAGAGUUUUAAUAAUAUUACUAUUUUAAAUACUUCUGUGGUAACUAAG
rnacentral:lncRNA from 1 species